CAUUAUAAGUGUUGUAGUUUCUCUCUUCAUUGUAUCCUCUGGGUGUUUUUUAAACUACAUUAUAUGGAAGCGAAAUCAAUAUAAAGCUACAAAAGUCAAGAGACUUGGACAAAAAGAUCAACUCAACGAGGGAACUAAG